rnacentral:lncRNA from 1 species
GGCGGCUCUAUGUUUGUAUCGCCAUUGUUACCGUUGGGACGCCGCGGAUGACCCUAUAUACCCUUGGCCGGCUACCGGGAAGACUGCGUCUCCUGACGAUCGUAACGAAGAUGUACCGUGCUUUCCUUCUGAGAGUUUAGUCGCCCUAAUAUGUGCAGCAGGCUAACCGCGUGGAAGCUUGCCUGCCAGAAAGAAAGCGCCUGUGAGUUGGGCUAUUAGGUGAGUUGACUCAAAGUUACUAAGAUUCGCAUUAACAGUCACGGUGUGGCACCCAGCACUUGCUUCAUCGACACCCUGCUCCUAGAGGCGUUGCAGGUGUGGCUGCUGUGUCACAUGUGCGUCAGUAGGUGGCAGAGAGAAAAGAGGCUAUGUCUACGCUCAGUGUUCUGCCCUGUGAACGUCUGAAUGAUUUGUAGCCUGACAACACUCCUGAAAGCUGGAGGUGGGAUUGUCCCUCCUAGUUUUUGACUGGCUUAGGUCAUUUGAUGGCUCUGCAUAAACCAAAUAGAGGGGCUGGUGUGUAAAGAGGAAGUUUACAGAGAAAUUGAUCUGUUGGAAAUCAUGAAACCAGGUCCUGGGACACAGCGUUGUGGCACAUGUUUCUCUUAUCCACCAGCUUGGGUCAAGAGACUGUCUCAAAAACAACAGUGGGUGGAAGCAAGGAUGUAUCUGUCUUAGUCAGGGGUUUUAUUGCUAUGAAACACCAUUACCAAAGAGCAAGUUGGGGAGGAAAGGGGUUAUUCCGCACACACUUACACUGCUGCUUGUUGCCAAAGGAAGUCAAGGCGGAGACCAUGAAAGGGUGCUGAGUGCUCCGCCUGUACCUGCAUGCCAUAGGAGGCCAUCAGAGCCUGUUCUAGAUGGUGGGGAGCUGGGAAUUGAACUCAGCCGUCAGUGCUCUUAACCACCGAGCCAGACUCCAACCCCAACCAAGAGGUUGGGUUUCUCUAUGGCCUGGGAUUAAAGGUGUGUUCCACCACCAGCCCAGAGAUGGCACCAUUCACAAUGGGCUAGGCCUUCCCCACUGUUCACUAAUUGAGAAAAUGCCUAACAGUUGGAUCUCAUGGGGGCAUUUCCUAAUGACUAACUUGUAUCAAGUUGGCACAAAACCAGCCAUUACAACCUCAAAGCCUCUCUUUGGGGAGAUGAGUGGAGCUUAUUACCUAAUGCUCCAGCUACCUUGAUGUGAGAUGGCUUUUCAAACUGGGUAUCUACUGGUUGCUAGCUGGUACGGGCUGGAGUGGAGCUCAGUGGUGCUCACUUGGCUGCACACAGGCCUGAGUCUCCAUCCCUAGCACCAUGGGCAAGUGAAACUGAUAAGGGGAAAAGACGAAGUGCCUGAUGGUAGGUCCAUGCAGCACCGAGAUUUCAGAAUGAGGAAGCAUGGUGGAGCAUACAGCUAACAGUGACAGGGGGUGUCAUAAAGCAUAAGGGUAAAGGGACUACUGCUUCGGGCCUCCAGAGGUCUGGGGGUGCGACACUUGUGGAAGGUCUACAUUGAUUGUUUUCUUUGGUACAGGAAAGUUGGUGACUAAAGUCUGCUUAUGCCAAAUGCCCAGCAAUGUCCAGUUGAGGUAAGAGGUAGGCUGGAGCAUGCUCAGAUGGGAUGUGAGUGGCUGCCCUAAAGAUGCUGUCCUAGAUCAGCACCACAGGCAUGGCACAGCUGCUCAGCUGAGCCUGUGACAUUGGGGCAAAGAGCAAGUGGCUGUUUCUACGCUCAGUGCUCAGAAGCCCGUGAGCACUAAGAAUGGUUUGUAGCCUGACAUUUUGCAGAGCCGUGGUGGGAAGGCACUGGGUUUUGCUUUGAUGCUGUUGGCCAGACCCCAGUGUCAAACCUCUAGGGCUCACCAAAGGGUUGCAUGGUCAGCAUUUUAGGGAGAUAGAACUUUGGAAGUGGAGGGAGAUAGAAAUUAAGUUUUCUAGGAGACAUCCUGAGGGACUGGAAAAAUACAAGAAACUCUCCAUUCCUUUCAUCUUCCAGAUCCAGGAGCCAGGAAGAAGGGGGGCUACUUGGCCAACAUGGCUGAUCACGUGCCUGAGGUAUGCCCUCUGACCUCACCAGGGUAACACAGAACCAUCCAUACAGGCCUUGGGCAGCUGGAAAUUUACACUGGUAGCUCUCCCAUGUCCUAAGUUAGGAACUGGAUUUGGAUUGGCUUGGGUUUGACUCUUAUUUCCAAGACUGGUGAGGUAAACACUGGAUGGAGGACCCUCUAAGGCUCAACCUCUCUAUCUAAUUGUAUAUGGCCUUAAGAGAGAUAAUUGAGUUGGGUGGUGAUAACUGGUCACUUGAGUUCAAGGCCAGCCUGGUCUACAAAGCAAGUUCCAGGACAGCCAGGACUGGUACACAAAGAAACCCUGUCUUG